GGAGAGAUGGUCGAGUUGGUUUAAGGCACCGGUCUUGAAAACCGGCGUACCUUUACGGGUACCCAGGGUUCGAAUCCCUGUCUCUCCGCCA
rnacentral:tRNA from 3 species